rnacentral:rRNA from 1 species
AGGAGGAGCUUGCUUCUCCGGAUGAGUUGCGAACGGGUGAGUAACGCGUAGAUAACCUGCCUGGUAGCGGGGGAUAACUAUUGGAAACGAUAGCUAAUACCGCAUAACAGUAGAUAUUGCAUGAUAUCUGCUUGAAAGGUGCAAAUGCAUCACUACCAGAUGGACCUGCGUUGUAUUAGCUAGUUGGUGAGGUAACGGCUCACCAAGGCAACGAUACAUAGCCGACCUGAGAGGGUGAUCGGCCACACUGGGACUGAGACACGGCCCAGACUCCUACGGGAGGCAGCAGUAGGGAAUCUUCGGCAAUGGACGGAAGUCUGACCGAGCAACGCCGCGUGAGUGAAGAAGAUUUUCGGAUCGUAAAGCUCUGUUGUAAGAGAAGAACGAGUGUGAGAGUGGAAAGUUCACACUGUGACGGUAUCUUACCAGAAAGGGACGGCUAACUACGUGCCAGCAGCCGCGGUAAUACGUAGGUCCCGAGCGUUGUCCGGAUUUAUUGGGCGUAAAGCGAGCGCAGGCGGUUAGAUAAGUCUGAAGUUAAAGGCUGUGGCUUAACCAUAGUACGCUUUGGAAACUGUUUAACUUGAGUGCAAGAGGGGAGAGUGGAAUUCCAUGUGUAGCGGUGAAAUGCGUAGAUAUAUGGAGGAACACCGGUGGCGAAAGCGGCUCUCUGGCUUGUAACUGACGCUGAGGCUCGAAAGCGUGGGGAGCAAACAGGAUUAGAUAUCCUGGUAGUCCACGCCGUAAACGAUGAGUGCUAGGUGUUAGACCC